GGAUGUGAGGGCGAUCUGGCUGCAACAUGUCACCCCACUGAUCACCAGGGUUGACUUCAUUAUCUGACAGGCUAGGUGGGUGUCCCCUUCCUUCCUCACUGCUCCAUGUGCGCCCCUCCCGCAGCUGUGUUCUUGACUGAAGAGGAUGACUUGCCCAAAUAGAGACAGACCACUCUUUGGUUGAGGGUAUAUAAGUAGCUGCACUCCCCAGCUAGAACCUACAAACAAGCUCUCAAGUAAUAAACAGAAAAUAAUAGGAAAUUAUGACACUCAAAUUAAUACUUGAACAUUAUUAAUGU
rfam:Erinaceus europaeus unplaced genomic scaffold scaffold00728, whole genome shotgun sequence